rnacentral:lncRNA from 1 species
UUCAAUAUAUGGUCAUUUGACUGAUUAGCUUGGCCAAUUUAGAAAUCUCGUCACUCUUAAUCUUGUUAAUAAUUCAAUUGUUGGUUCUAUUCCAUGGUCAUUUGGUUAACUCUCAACCUUGAGAGAACUACAUAUAUAUGAUAAUAAGUUAAACGGAACACUUUUUGAACUUCACUUUGCCAAUCUGAUAGAAAUGUCAUGGUUUAGAGUAGGUGGAAACCAAUUGACGUGGGAAGUGAAGCAUGAUUGGAUUCUUCAUUUCCAACUUGUUGCAUUAGGAUUGCAUAGUUGUUAUAUAGGGUCUCGAUUUCCUCUAUGGCUUAAUUCACAAAAGCAUUUACAGUUUCUAGAUUUAGUCAACUCAAGAAUUUCAUAUAUUUUUCCCAUUAGAUUUUUGAAAUCCGCUUCCCAAUUAAAGAUUUUAGAUCUCGAAAAAAAGCAAAUUCACGGGGAGAUGCCAAAUCUAACCGAGUUUACUCAACUUUUGUUUCGUUCCCUGGAUUCGAAUAAUAUGUCGGGUCCUUUACCCCUCAUAUCAUCCAAUCUCGUUUACCUUGGCCUUUCAGAUAACUCAUUCCCCGGAACAAUUUCUCAUUUCUUAUGUAACAAAAUCAACGAGACAAAGAGAUUAGAAGCUCUUAAGCUAAAUGAUAAUUAUUUACAAGGAGAGUUACCUGAUUGUUGGAUGAGUUAUCAAAAUUUGAAGAUACUUAAACUAAGUAACAACAAAUUCACUGGUAAUCUUCCAAACUCAUUUGGUAGUUUAGCUUCUCUUGCUUGGUUGGAGCUUGGUAAAAACAGACUAUUUGGGACAAUACCUGCUUCUCUUAAAAAUUGUACAGCAUUAAAGUCACUUGAUGUUGGUGAAAACGGGUUUGUUGGCAGUACUCCAGCAUGGUUUAGAGAAAGAUUUUCAAGAAUGGUUGUUCUCAACCUUCGUUCCAAUAAGUUUCAUGGCCCUUUACCCACAAGAUUAUGUGAUCUAGCUAUUCUUCAAAUCUUAGACAUCGCGGACAAUAAUCUCUUUGGCGCCAUACCAAAUUACAUUAAUAAUCUCACUGGCAUGGUGACAACGAACUCUUUUUCACGCAGUGCUCAGCAACAUCUACCUGUUCCUCUAGACGUGGAUGUGAUUCUUACGGAGAAGGCAUCAGUUGUGAGCAGAGGGGAUGUGGUUGAAUAUAAUGAGAUUCUUAAUUUGGUAACGGUGACAACUGUUUCCAGGAAUGAUUUACCGAAAAAUGUUCCUUUGGAAGUGAGAAAUCUUAAAGCAACGCAAUCAUUAAAUUUUUCGCACAACACUUUCACAUGAAGAAUUCCUGAAAGUAUUGGUGUUAUGAGAUCAUUGGAGUCUGUUGAUUUUUCUGUAAACCAAAUUUCGGGUAAAAUUCCACGGAGCAUGUCAAAUUUGAUGUCCUUGAAUUAUUUGAACUUGUCCAACAACAAGUUGACUGGGAAAAUUCCUUCAAGCACUCAACUCUAGAGCUUCGAUGCAUCUAGUUUCGCUGGCAAUGAUUGUUGAAGUCAAACAAAUUGUUGGUUGCAACCAACAAUUGUAAGGUAGCAAAAUCAAAUUGAAUUUGAUUUUGCAGCCAAAAAGAAAGAAUGGACAAAGGGGAUGAAGCAAAAAUGUUUGAAUGGAGAAAGGGGAUGAAGCAAAAAUGUUUGAAUGGAGAAAGGGGAUGAAGCCAAAAUGUUUGAAAAAUAAUAAUAAUUAAAUAUUAUAUUUUCAAUUAUUUUAUUCUUUGCAUAGUAACUUAUUUCUCUUAUAAAUAGCUAGGGAUUUCAUUCAUCCCAAAAAUUUGUUAUGCUUAUAAGUUUCUAAGCUUUUGAGAGUUCUGAGAGUGUGAACAAUUGGAGAGUGUGUGUGAGAGUACUGGGUGUAUUUGGGUUCUGGGAAAGUGAGAUUUCUUUAUUCAAAUAUUUGUACUCUAUUAAUUGUUAAUAAUACAAUUAAUUUUCUCUUGCUCCCGCGGACGUAGGCAUAUUGCCGAACCACGUAAAUUUUGUGUCUUUUAUUUUUCUAUAAUUAUUUGGUGCGCUUGAUUCCGCAUUCCGCACAUAACAAGUGGUAUCAGAGCCGACAAUUUGUACUUGGAGGGAUAUGUUACUGUUCACGUUUACGAUACUAUUUCUAUAUACGGUAUUGUUUCACAUAUGGUAUUGUUCACGAAUACGAUGGAGACGACCAUUUGUACUUGGGAGACAUUAUAUUGUAAGUAGUGUGUAUUUUUAUAUGUCUAGGAAAGUUCUGUCAAUAAGGCGAUAAGAGUAUAAGGAUUCUGGUUUUUAACUGGGACCAAGUUCCCGUCAAGUCUCCUGAAAAAUUUCCUGGUGCAUUUAUUCACGCGAAAUUAACAUCAUAGAGGCUGUUUUUCAAGUGGAAAUAGUUCGUUGAGAAAAUGUAGAAGGUGAAACUUCCAAAAUUUGGGAGAGAUCUACCGAGACUAUUUCAGAAGACACUUUAGGUGGGAUGCGAGAUUUGUCAAAUCGUUAUUCAACACCUAUUAUAUAAGGCCAGAAGAUUAAUGUUGAAAAGUUUGAUAGGAAAAUCAACUUCGACAUGUGGAGGCGCGAAGUUAUGGAUGCCCUUAUUUAAAUCGAUCUCGAUGUGGUUCUGAAAAAUAAAAGACACUUGUAUGAUGAAGAAAUUUGGGAUCGUGUGAACGAGAAAGCUUGUGGUCAGAUCAGAUCUUGUUUGAUCAAGGAGGUGAAAUACUUGGUGAAAGAUGAUGAGUGUGCGAUGACUUUAUAAUGUACAUUGGAGGAGAAGUACUUGCUGAAAAGUCCUGAAAAUCGUCUUCAUGCAAUGAGGUAAGUAUAUGGCUUUCGAAUGAAGUCUGGGGUGUUAAUGCAUUAUAAUGUCUCAAGAUUUGAAAAGUUACUUGCUGAUUUGAAGAAUCUUGAUGAAAAUAUUAAGGAUGAAGUCAAGGCUAUAAUUCUGUUACACUCACUACUAGAGGAAUAUAGCCAUUUUGUGACUACCUUGAUAUAUGGGAAGAGUGUGAUUGUCUUCAAAGAUGUUUGCACAUCAUUGACUAACUUGGAGAUUCGAAAUAAUGAUAAAAAUUCUGAACGAGCAUCGUUUGAAGCUUUGGUGAGCAAAGAUUAGGCGAUGGAGAAAAAGAAGAAGCGUGGUGGAAAGAAUUCUCGAUCCAAAUCGAGAAGCAGAAAUAUAACUCGAGACGAGUGUGCCUCUUUCAUGAAAAGAGCCAUUAGAGAAAAGAUUGUCCAAGAGCUCAAAAGAGAGAUGUGAAGAAACCAGUAGUAGCAAACAUGGCACAGAAAGAUGAAGACUCUGAUUAUUCACUAAGUAUUACUUCUGCAGCAUACGUGUCUAGUUCGAGCAAGUGGAUACUUGAUACUAGAGCAACCUAUCAUUUGUGUCCUAUUAAAGAAUGGUUUACGGAUUUUCGUAAUCUGGAAUCUGGUGCAGUUGUGAUGGGGAAUAAUCAAUCUUGUCGUACAAUGGGGAUAGGAACAAUUCAGCUCAAAAUGUUUGAUGGAAUGAUAAGAGAACUCAAAGAGGUUAGAUUUGUUCCAGCUUUAAAGAAAAAUCUAAUUUCUAUGGGUGCUUUGGAAGCUAAAGGCUACAAGGUUACCAUUGAAGAUGACAUAAUGAAGUUUACACAUGGGGCUAUGGUGAUUCUACAAGGGGUUCGGCGUCACAAUUUGUACUAUUUGAAGGGAGGUACAACUGAUGAAGCAAAUGUUACUGAGGCGCACAGUGACACCACCAAGCUACGACAUGUACGACUGGGACAUACUGGAGAGAAGUAUUUGCAAACUCUGAUGAGGCAUUGACUCUUAAAAGGUACCAAAACCUAUAAAUUAAAUUUCUGUGAGCAUUGUGUAGUAGGCAAGAAAACAAGGGUCAAGUUUGGUAUGGCUAAUCACGAUACUCGUGAGAUCCUUGAAUAUGUUCACAGUGAUGUAUGGGGACCAACCAAGACUACAUCAAUUGGUGGAAUCCAUUAUUUUGUUACAUUUGUUGAUGAUUUCUCUAGACGUGUGUGAGUGUACACCAUGCGAGCAAAUGAUGAUGUUCUAGAGAUUUUUGUGAAAUGGAAGAAAUUGGUGGAGACUCAAACUGGUAGAAAGAUCAAAGUAUUACGAUAUGAUAAUGGGGGUGAAUAUACUUCUGAUCCAUUCUUGCAAAUAUGCCAGAACGAGGGUAUUAAAAGACAUUUCACGGUGAGACAUACUCCGCAACAAAACGGUGUGGCUGAGCAUAUGAAUCGUACUUUGCUAGAGAAAGUAUAGUGUAUGUUAUCUAAUGCUGGUUUAAAUAACAAGUUUUGGGCUGAUGCUGUGAGCUACGCAAGUCACUUGGUAAACCGGUUGCCUUCUACUGCAAUUGGAGAUAAAACUCCUAUGGAAAUGUGGUCUAGAAAGCAUGCACAAGAUUAUGAUGCCCUUCGUAUAUUCGAGUGUCCAGGUUAUUAUCAUGUCAAAGAUGGUAAACUAGAUGCUCGUGCUAGAAAAGCUAUCUUUGUGGAAUUCAAAGGUAGUGUAAAAUGACUUAAGCUUUGGGAUCUCGAAGAUAAAAAGUUUGUGUGUAGCAGAGAUAUCAUGUUUGAUGACGCUUCAAUGAUGAAAGCUUCAAGUUCUCAACAGGUGGAGAACAAGACCACAGAGGUAUUACAGCGGGUGGAGUUUGAUGAAACUCCAUAUGUACCAGUUAGUUCUACAUCAGAAAAUGAUUCAACUAUGGAGGUGACACUUAGAGUCUGAUGUCCCACAAAAUGAAGAAACAAUUGAUGAUAUGGAUAAUGAUGAUUCUAUAGCAACAAGGAGGCCAAGAAGAGAGAUAAAGAAAUCCGGAUGGCUUACUAAAGACAUGGUGGUAGCCUAUGCACUUCCAGUUAUUGAUGAUGACAUCCCCAACACUUUCAGUAAAGCAUUACGCAGCAGUGAAAGUGAUAAAUGGAAGUUAGCCAUCGAAGAAGAGAUGAAAUCUCUCCAUCAAAACCAGACUUGGGAACUUGUGGAGUUACCAAAGGGGAAAAGGGCUAUUGGCAAUAAAUGAGUCUACACCAAAAAGCAAGGAUCUCCAAAUCAAUCAACUUCUCGAUACAAGGCAAGGCUCGUUGCAAAAGGUUUUGCUAAGAAGGAAGCUAUUGGCUACAAUGAAGUUUUCUCUCCAGUUGUAAAACAUAAUUCCAUUCGUAUCCUACUUGCCUUAGUUGCAGAAUAUGAGUUAGAGUUGGCUCAAUUAGAUGUUAAGAUGGCAUUCUUACAUGGAGAUUUGGAGGAGGAAAUCUAUAUAACUCAGUCUUGUGGUUUUAAAGUUGAUGUAAUAGAGAAUCGUGUGUGCAGAUUGAUUAAAUCUUUAUACAAAUUGAAACUAAUUCUUUGAAUGCAUUGAGUUUGGAGAAUUAUGAACUACGAUUGGCUUGAUCCCAUAUUUUGGGUACGUAGGUAGUCGAAGUGACACAACCAUUUUGGAUCCUUAUUGAAGGAUCACCGUAGGGAUGAUGAUCCGUCGAUAGUCAGCUCAGAUUUGGCAAAUUUUCGCCGAGGUGGAGAUUUUUUGAAGUCAAACAAAUUGUUAGUUACAACCAACAAUUGUAAGGAAGCAAAAUCAAAUUGAAUUUGAUUUGCAGCCGAAAAGAAAGAAUGGACAAAGGGGAUGAAGCCAAAAUGUUUGAAUUAUAUUUUCAAUUAUUUUAUUCUUUGCAUAGUAACUUAUUUCUCCUAUAAAUAGCUAAGGAUUUCAUUCAUUUCAUUCAUCUCAAAAAUUUGUUAUGCUUAUAAGUUUCUAAACUUUUGAGAGUUCUGAGAGUGAGCAAUUGGAGAGUAUAUGUGAGAGUACUGGGUGUAUUUGGGUUCUAGGAAAGUGAGAUUUCUUUAUUCAAAUAUUUGUACUCUUUUAAUUGUUAAUAAUAUAAUUAUUUUUCUCUUGCUCCCGUGGACGUAGGCAUAUUGCCAAACCACGUAAAUUUUGUGUCCUUUAUUUUUCUAUAAUUAUUUGGUGCGCUUGAUUCCGUAUUCCGCGCACAACAAUGAUCUCUGUGGAGCUCCUCUUCCAAAAAAUUGUACUGAAAAUGUUUCAAAUUCAGAAGAUGAAAAUGGAGAUGAAGACGAAGAUGAAUUGGACCAUUGGUUUUAUGUAAGCAUUGCACUUGGCUUUGUGGCGGGAAUUUGGUGUUUUAUAGGCCCUUUGAUUUUCAAUAGAAGAUGGAGGUACAAAUAUUGUCAUUUCCUAAAUCGUCUUGAGGAGAGAGUUGUUGAUGUUGUAAGAAAACGUGGCUAGAUUUUCUCUGUUUUUGAGUUGUUCUGCUUUUUCAUGUACUGUGCUCACUGAAAGGAAUAGAAUAUUACUUAAAAUAAACGAAUGGCCUUUUAUUUGUUUUGUUCCUGAAAGCAAAAAUUAAUGCGAAAUAAUUUUUAAAUAAGGCGAAUGAUAUUCAUAUUAAAAAUCAUACGAGACUUUCCAACUCAACAAAAUUAGUACUGAUAAAUCAAAAUUGAAAAAGUAUAUUUUAUGGACACUUCACCAUCUAUAGGAUCAACAAUUUUUAUAUUAAAAAAGAUUAUAAAUCACAACAUUGGUAUCAAAAUGUUAAGAUCUUGAAAAAGUAAAUGGAAAAGAUUCUUAGAUUAACAAGCAACACUGCAACAGGGGAGGGGGCUCAACUAUUCUCUAUUAUGCAAUUUUGACCAGUAGUACUUCUCUCUUCUUUUACAUUUUAGGGUUAUUAUCAUUUUACUACUUCAGGAAUUGCCAAAUAUCAAAUGACUACAACAAUCGUUGUCUCCUAUUAUUUUACUACUAUAUCUUUAUAAAAAUAUCAUUUUACUACUUUUCCGUUAUAACUGUUAGUUGACCAGUUAGUUGACUAUCAAAAUACCAAUUUCACCCUUCAUGAUUAAAAAAAAAUAUUUGAAGCUUAUUUACAAAAUAAAUUUGUAAUAUAUUUAUUAAAAUAGAUAUAAAAUACCAACAUAUUUUUUUUGCUAGAAUUAUUAUAUAUGAAUUACAAAAUUUAUCUUAUUAUUAUUUUUAAUCAUGAAGGGUAAAAUUAGUAUUUUGUUAGUCAACUACCGGUCAACUAACAGUUAUAACGGAAAAGUAGUAAAAUGAUAUUUUUAUAAAGAUAUAGUAGUAAAAUGAUAGGAGACAAUAACUGUUGUAGUCAUUUGAUAUUUGGCAAUUUCUGAAGUAGUAAAAUGAUAAUAACCCUACAUUUUAUAUAUGGAAUAUUUUCAAUGCAACAUUGAGAUUCACAACUAUCCAUGUAAAUACUAAUUACAGCAAAACUCUCCUCCUUUAAAUUUGAAAAAAGAAAACUUAGGUGGCGUUUGUUUUUUUGUCUAAAAUCUGAAUAGACCUGAAUUAGUCUGAAUUCUGAAUAGAUCUGAAUGUCUGAAUCUAAAUAACAUGUUUUUUUUUUUCGUCUGAAUCUCGAAAAAUAAGUAUUAAGUUGUUUGUUUUUUUCAACUGAAAAAGCUGAAAAUAUGUACUUUUACUUUUGUAUCCUUAUUAAAUUUGAAAGUCAAAUAAAUAAUAUAUUAAAUACCACAAUAUUUUAACAUUUAUAAGUAAAACUAUAUUCAAGUGAAUACAUAAUUAUUUUGGAAUUUAUAUAUAUAAAAUACCAUAAAUUUUAAAUUUUAUCGUAUAUAAUAUAAGAAAGAAAAAAUAAUGAUAUUUUUAUAUGGGAAAAAUGUCUAUGGGUGAGUUUUGGGAUAGACAUGAAAAAUAAAUUAUAAAACAUGGAUAUUUUUGACAUUAGUAAGUAAUUGACUUAAUUCAAAUUUCUCCAUUAAGUAAAAAGCUAAAAAAAUUGGCUUAUUUUAUUAAGUCAAAAUUAUCUAAAAAGUCUCAUUAAGUUAUAAAAACAAACACCUCUAAUUAACUUAAUUAAUUAAGUUAAGUCACUUUAAGUCAUUAAGUUAAAAAACAAACGCCACCUUAGUCUUGGUUUAUUUCAUUAAAUAGAGUUAGUUAACGAUGUGUCACGAGAUAUAUAGAUAUUAGUCCAUAUAAUAUAAUAAUCGAUUGAGUUAAAGUCGUCAAAUCUGAAUAUUGUUAUCUUCUGACUUAAAAAGUCGUUUGCGUGGAAAGGACGUAAAUCCUAAUCCAAUUAACAGUAGGAUGAUGUUGAGUUGGAGUAUGCGAACGAACUAUAAGGUCACAAUUUAAGAUAAUUAUUUUGAAAGAGAGAAAUGGCCCUAUAAAUAGCAAUGUUGUUGAUAACACAAAUUCAAAUAAACAUUUACUCUUUAUUAAACCAAACAUGAGUGGUGUCCUUGUUUUUGCCUCACUUCUUGAAUUACUUGUCGUUAGCAUGAGUGGACAAAUUGAUGCGUGAUUUUAACGUAAAUAUAUACAAGGAUCACCGAUGAUUGACUUAAGUGAUUGUAAAUGGCAUCUGUGUGACUGUGUCCUUUACAUGUCCUCUUCAAUUGACUUAAAGUCGCUUCGCUAAGUAGGAGGUUACUUUGUGUCAUGUGCAAAUUGGAUUAUGCAGAAAACUGAGUUUCUAGUUACUUUUUCCAAUAAAAAGCCCCAAACGGAUGCUGAAUUGCUGAAAGAUAAGUUGAGAUUGUUCAUUAGAUCAAGGACAUUUUCCUUGUUAACAAAAUUAAUAAACGAACAUAUAAAAAUGAAGUAAUUAUCCAUAAGUACUGCUACAACAAAUAACUCUAAUGCAUAGACUAUAGAUUCCAUUUUGUCGGUGGCGGACUAAGGUUAAAAAUAAAGAAAUUCAUAAGGGUAUUAAUUGAAAUUUAAUCUAUUUCUUAAAAUAUUACAUCAUCAUUAUCCAUUAUUUACAAAAUUUUGAUUAUUGCCUCCAUAAGUUCGUAGUUCUUUUUUGGGCAUGUUUCAACCAAAAUACCGGUUUUGAAUUUAGAAUGCGAAACUCUCCGCAAAAUUUUUACUUUGAGACGUCAUAACACAGUUUUCUCAAAGUAAUUGACAUUUAAUUACGAACAAAAUAUCACCAUCGAUAUCGAUCCCAAUUAAAUUCUUCAAGUUCCUUCCAGUCUUGGUUAUUUUUAUUAAAUGGAGUUAGUAAGAUAGUCAUGAGAUAUUUCAUUAUCUACAACGAUCAUCGACUUGUGACAUUACCAAAUUAAAUAGUAUCUAUAUAUCGUCCUAUAUAAUGAAUAGACUUGAAGUCGUUUCCUCAUAAAGGGGGUUAGAACUGGAUUAUGCGGAAGAUUUAAUUAUAUGGCCUAUCGCUACUUUUUCCAAAUUAGAUUCCUGGCCCACUUUACUGAUUAUAUCAAAUGGAUGCUGAGUUUCUGAAACAUAAUCCAAGAGAGUAUCGGUCUUGUUAAUUGCAAUUCAUUAUAAAUAGCAAAGGUGUUGAUAACAUUAUCCUCAUCCACAUUUCCUUGACUAGCUAGCAAUGAAACCAAACAUGAGUGGUGUCCUUGCUUUUGCCUUAUUUCUGUUUGAAAUACUUGCCAUAGCAACCAUUAGCAUUAGCUUCUGCAGCGGAAGUUCUUAUCAUGGGGGUUGCCUUGAAAGUAAGAGAGGAGCACUUUUAAGGUUCAAGCGAGAUCUUAAAGACCCUUCCAAGACGAAAACAUUUUGGGCCAACUUAAUCCUCCAAUUGAUUAGAGAGACAACCAAUCUCAACAUGAUUAAAAUCAACCAAGAACUUUAAAAGAUUACAUGAAUCCAACAAGAACUGGAGCACCAUCGUGUAUAGUAUUUCCUCUAAAAGCAUCUCAAUUCAACUUCAAACCAGGUAUUAUCUAACUUUUACCGACAUUUUAUGAUUUAAAAUCUGAGAAUCCGUACGUGCAUCUAAGAGAUUUUGAGGAAGUUUGUAAUACAUACAUGGACCAAAAUUGUAGCAUGAACAUAAUUAGAUUAUAAUUUUUUCCUUUUUCAUUAAAAGAUAAAGCUAAAACUUGACUAUAAAACCUUAGAUCAUGUUAAAUUAGAAAAAAUAUCAUUACAUGGUUACUUCUGGAAUUGUUUUGGGUCAUGUUGUAUCUAUUAAAGAAUUGAAGUUGACAAAGCAAAAGUUAAAGUCAUAUCUAAAUUGCCAUAACAAAAAAUAGUUAUAGAUGUGCGAUCUUUUUCAGAACAUACAUGAUUUUUUAGAAGGUUUAUAGAAAACUUUAGUGUCAAAUUGAUAACUCUAGGAAAUGAGAGUUAUUACAUCAAUUCUAGACUUGAAUCAAGACUACUUGAGAACAAAUAAGGUGUUUUUAUUAUAUUUUGGUUACCUUUUGCAUAAACUUUCAUUUUAGUUGAGUCUUAAUAAGUUUUGCUUGAAUCAAAGUAAUUUGUACUAAAAACAGGUGUAUAAUUGUAGGUUUUAAAGUCAUGAGGGGAUGUUGAGGCAUUAGAAGAGCGAGAGGAGGAAAGAAGAUGGCCACAAAAGAAGUAAAGCACAAUCGGAAAUAAGGCAGUGUUGUAGCUGAUGUUAGAGCAACCAGUGCUGUAGCAAUCUGGGAGCAAUGCGAGAGAAAACUUAGGCACGAGUUAGCCAUAAAAACGCGAUCUGCAUGUUUCCUAAUUUAAACGCAUGCACGCUCAUGGGCUUUGGUUUACCCUAAUUUGCAAUAUAAAAAAGGAGGCGUGCACCAUAUAAAAGGCGGCGAAGGGAUAAUCAUCAGAAUAAUUACAAAGGAAAGAAGAAGAAGAUCAGAUUGAGAGAGUGUUGUUUCAGUAACAUUGAAGACUCGUGCAGAAUUAUUUGUCUUUCAUCGUGCUCAACUUAUAUUUCUCGUCUUCAUUUAAUUGUUUUGAUGUAUUCAUUGAUCAAUAUAUUUAUGUUUACUUUUCUCAUUCAGAGUAUGAACUAAAUUUACUUGUAGUUGAGUGACAAAGAAUCCAAUGGGUUCUUGACUGUUCUUAUAUGUUGUUAUGGCAUUGUUGUAGCAUUAUACUCUAGUAGUUUUUAUGAAUAUAACUGUUAUUUCGGUUGACCACCCAUUUAAUAGUUUCAGUUAAGAUAGAGCAGCAAAAGAGCAUGUCUUAGCGGAUGUUAUUAGAGUAUUACUUGAUCUUAAGUCGAGUUUCCUGGAUUAAGUUAUCUUAAAUCCCAUAAGGGCAAUACUUGAAGUUAAGAUUUGUGACACACUAGACAUAGAUGUUCACCUUGUAGGGUGGAAAGACUAAAGACCAUAAUGACAUACUAUAAGUAGAUUAGCAACUGGUCAUUGUUAAUAGAUUUAAGGGUAUGAGACUUCCAAUAUGCGGCAGCUGAGGAUGCAGAUAAACUCUGUCCAGUGCUGCAGCACUGGUCGUAACAACUGGUACUAAUUUGAUGAAAAAACAGUCAACCCCAAAGGAAAAUUUGAUCAUUCAACUACAUUAAUUUCAAUUGAAUCUUGGACACACUUAACCUAGUUAUUUCAUUACGAUAUUGUUUUAUUUAAUUCUUAUCUCAAUCAUUGAUUACAAUAGACAUUACUUGACAAUUGUUUGCUUCGGGUUUAAGUUGAGUUGCGCUAUUGUGAGUGCUGUAGCAUUUCGAGUAACAUUAAUCCAUGUGGAGACGAUCAUGAAUACUUAUCACUUUAUUACUUGUUGUGCAUACUUGCACAUUGGCAUUGAUAGUAAUUGCUUAUAAAAUUUACCAACACAUAUCUAAACCACUUUGUAACCUCUUAUUAAAAGAUGCACCAUUUGAAUGAACUGAUGAUUGCCAAAAAUCUUUUGAGAAAAUAAUUUGUCUUUUAACAUCAGCACCCAUUAUGCAAUCUUCUGAUUGGUCUCUUCCUUUUGAAUUCAUGUGUGAUGCAAGUGAUUUUGUUGUUGGUGUUGUUUUUGGACAAAGAAUGGAUGGUAAGUCGUUUGUGAUUUAUUAUGUGAGUAAGACCUUGGAUGGUACCCGAAUGAAUUAUUUGACAACUAAAAAAGAAUUACUUGCAGUGGUGUUUGUAUUAAACAAAUUUCGUUCAUAUUUGCUUGGUUCUAAAACUAUUGUUUUUACUGACCAUGCUGCUGUGAGAUAUUUGAUGACUAAACAGGAUGUCACAACCAAGACUAAUUCGAUCGAUUUUGUUACUUCAAGAAUUUGACCUUACCAUCAUUGAUAAAAAAGGUGCCGAAAAUGUCGUUGCUAAUCAUUUAUCAAAACUCACAUUCGAAUUCUGCACUGACGUAACACCCAUCAAUGACUCCUUCCUAGAAGAAUUUUUAUUUUCUGUUACUUUAAUGCUAUGAUAUGCUAACAUUAUUAAUUUCUUUGUUACAGGUAAAAUGCCUUUGCAAUAGAAUACUCAAGAGAAGAAGAAAUUUUUAGUUGAAGUAAAGAAAUUUUAUUAGGAUGAUAUUUCACACAGGUGGUAUUUCACACAUGUAGUAUUUUAUGUAUUUUAUUUAGUCUUUAAUAUGGCAUACCUAGCAGAUGUUAUAUAAUUGUGUUUGAGAAUUUUAUUUUAAAAUGAUUUUAUCUUUUUAUUGAAAAUUUUUUAUUUUAUUUUUAGUGAAUUAUACAGUAAAUUAUUGACAAUUUAACAAAAAAUAUUUCAAAUAAUUGUUCAAAAAAUAAUAAAAUAAAUUAUUAUUUAAAUAAUAAAAAUGAAAUCGAUUAUUGCGUCAAAUGAUAUGGGUUCUCACGGCUAAACUAAUCAAAGUUAAAAAACGUGUCACUCCCAAACGAAUACCUUCGCAUGGAGGUCGCCCGGUGGGGCAACGCGCAAAUUGGAUUAGUGACUGAGAUUCUCGUUGCUCCUUUCCAAAUUAAAAUUUUCAAACGGAUGCUAAAUUGUUGAAUAAGACACCAAAUUCUAUUUCCACCUGUCGUUGUAAUGAUAUUAUAUCUUUGCUGCAUGUGUCACACUCUCACAUCCGUACAAGAAAUAUAAUAAAUAAAUAAUAUGAGAUAACGGAUGGUAAUAAUAUAGCAUGCCACCUCAGGUAUGUACCUCAGAAAUAUAAUUUAAAAAUAAAAAUAUAUAAAAACCCCUUUAAUUUAGGUUAAUUUAAAAUGUAUAAGGAAUAUUUCAAAUUUGAUAAAAGGUUUAAAAUGUAUAAGAAAUAUUAACGUUUAUGUGCAUAUAAAAUUUUUAAAAUUAACAUGAAGUUUCCCUUAGUAAUUAAUUUUAAACACUUAAAAAUUAACAUGAAAUUUUACUUAAGUAGUAAUUAAAAUUUUAAACACUUUAUUUGAGAAUAAAAUCAUAAAUUAAAAUUAAUGAAUUGCACUUGAUAGUCUCAACUUACCCGAGCGGUUCGGCAUUCAUUUGAAAUUGUUAAUAUACUAUGGACUUCCUUGUUAUCUCCUAGUUAUGGAAGUGACUAAUGUAGCAUUUAUUUUUUUGUUUGAAAUUUAAAUAAACUUGAAUUAGUCACUAUUUUAAAUAGUGUUGAAUCUAAAUCAUAUUUUUUUUGUUUGAAUUACCAAAAAUAAGUAAUAAUUUAUUCUUUCUUUUAACUUAAAAAUAUGAAAAUCAGUAUUUCUACAUUUGUGCUCAUAGAAAUUAAAAAUAUUAAAUAAAUAAUAAAUAUUUCAAAGAAAAUAAAUAAAAUAAUAUGUUAUCAUAACAUAUGGUUAUUGCGAUCUUAAUAAAAGAUUUACUUUUUCUAUCCGUCGGUGUAGGCCAAUGACCGAACCAUAUUAAUUCUCCGUGUUUUUCUUAUUAUAUAACCUUAGCUAAACUAGUUCUCUAGUUGACCGCAUUUCUACAUCUAACAAUUCUUGUGAUGUAUAGGCAGCUGAAACAAUUUUUUGCGUUUUAAAACCUUUCUGACUGUAUAUCAUCAUUUUUUUUUUACGCACACCAGGAUUUGUGACGGCUAUACGGCCAAUCUCCGAUGCAAUAAAUAAAUAAAUAAUAAACGAUGUCUAUUUCCACCGCAUAUGACUAUUACGCCAACGUUAUGGAAGUUCCUCACAAAUUUACGAAAAUGACCCUUUAUCUAAUAUUUUGAUAUUUUGUAAUUCUAUCCUCAUCAACAUUUUUAUAUUAAUUAAAAUUUUUAACGAACAUCAGUUGUAAGGUCCACAUCACAAUGACACAUCAUUAGAUACGUGACUACACGCACUAUGACACAUCAAGAUCACAAUGUUUUUAAUUAAGUUCAGUCUUAUUACAAAUGCACAACUGUCUGUCUACUAGUCCUUUUAUGUUUGGGAGCUAGAGUAAGUGUAGGAUUAGAUUAAUUUUCUAGACAAAAUAUUUAUUCCAUGUUUGACGGGCUCGCUUAAAUUUGAUUAAGAGGAUUAAAUUCAAAUUUACUUUUACAAUCAUAGGAUUAGUUAUCAUAAUUUUCACAUGGGUUUAAGGAGAAUUAGAGAAAGCAAUGUUUGUCCCUUUAUGACAAUCUGUUUGUUUAUUAAUGAGUUGUUAUCUAUUUAAUUAAUUAUUUAUUUUUAUUCAUGAUUUCUUAAAAAUUAAGUAUUUAUUUUUUAUUCUACCCAUGUCAUCUUUUAUCAUUUAUUUAUUUAAUGUUAAAAGUAAUGCAUUAACAAAAUUACUUUUUAGAAACAUGCCAUUUAUCAUUUGAUUAUUAUACAAAUAUUUUUAAAAUAUUUGAUAAAUAAUUAAUUUUAUAUUUAACUAUUUUAGUUAUAUUUUUUUAAUAGGCAAUAAUAUGCAUCAUAUAUAAAAGCAUAUAAUUUUCAUAAUUUUAGUUGUUCUUGUUAAAAACCAUUUAAUUUCACUUAAAUUUAAUUUAACAUAGUGUAAUUAAAUAUUAUACUAAAUAUAAGAUUGUACUACAUAUAAAAAAUACAAUGUAAUCCAAUUCAAUUUAAUCUAAUUGAAUUUUAAGUCUAUUUAAUCAUGCUUACUAAACGUAGCCUAACCUAUAACUAAAUCAUACAGUAUAUGAUUGAUUGAUAAUGAAAGAGUAAUCGCUGGCAGACUUAUGUUGUGGCUUGAGUCCAUUUCUUUGGAAAUAUUACAUCCAAUUUGGCCCUGCCAAUCGACCAGAUAGUUCAAAUUGACAAAAUGUCAAAAUCAAUACCAAUAAUUAAUUUGAGAUCUGGAAAGAAUGUUGAUAUCCCAGUUGAUGUGACCAACAAUUGGAUGGAAUGCAAUUCAGCACAAAAACCACUUCAAAAUGGAAGCAUGUUACAACAAACUACCCAUCAAGACACUGAUUACAUGGGCCAAGCUACAGCAACUGCAGAAGAAAUUCAACCAGAACAUGCUGAAAAAGAAGUUGCAACACCAAUAACCACUUCCUAUACCAAACUAAACAAACAAAGUUUGGUAUCCCCUGAAUCUAACCAGCAGUUUAGACAUCCACCACAUUUCCCACAAAGGUUCCAGAAGCAAAAACAAGACAAGCAGUUCAACAAAUUCCUGGAAGUGCUGAAACAAUUACACAUCAAUAUACCUUUCGUGGAAGCUUUGGAGCAAAUGCCAAAUUAUGUGAAAUUUCUAAAAGACAUCUUGGCAAGAAAGAGAAGACUGGGAGAAUUUGAAACUGUUGCUUUAACACAAGAAAGCAGUCAUAUGCUCCAAAGUAAGAUUCCUGCAAAAGUGAAAGAUCCAGGGAGUUUUACAAUACCCUACUCUAUAGGAACUAGGUAUGCUGGCAGAGCACUUUGUGACCUGGGAGCUAGCAUUAAUUUGAUGCCAUUGUCUGUAUUUAAGCAGUUGGGAGUUGGGGAAUGCAGACCAACAACAGUCACUUUGCAAUUAGCUGAUAGAUCUCAUGCAUACCCUGAAGGAAAAAUAGAUGAUGUACUGGUGAAGGUUGACAAAUUCAUCUUCCCAGUGGAUUUCAUUGUACUGGAUUUUGAAGCUGAUAAAGAGGUACCCAUUAUACUGGGAACCUUUUCUAGCAACUGAAAAGACUCUGAUAGAUGUGCAGAAAGGAGAGCUCACCAUGAGAGUAAAUGAUCAGCACGUCACAUUUAAUGUACUAGAAGCUAUGAGGAACCCUGAUGAAGUAGAAGAUUGCAAUUUCCUGAGUGUAGUGGAUUUUGUUAUAGCAAACAGAAUGAACAGAUGCUGCAGUAAUUCAUUUGACAAAGUCACUACCUUUGAUGAUGUAGAAGAGGAAGAUGUUGCAGCAAUUCAGACAGAUUGGAUGGAAGAAAAGCAAUCUGAUAGGCACAAUAGGUUUAUUGAACAUUUGAAUCUUUUAAACAGGGAAGUAAAAACAAUUUUACCAUCUAUUGAAUCACCUCUUAGUCUUGAAUUAAAACUGUUACGUUCACAUUUGAAGUAUGCUUAUCUUGGUCAAAAUAACACAGUCCCUAUAAUCAUCUCUUCUACUUUGGAUGCAGGUCAAGAACAGAGUCUAGUAGAUUUACUUGGAAAAUACAGAAGAGCAAUUGGAUGGACCAUGGCAAACAUAAAAGGGAUAAGCCCAUCAAUAUGCAUGCAUAAAAUCUUGUUAGAAGAUUGCUCCAACAAUUCGGUGGAGCACCAGAGAAGGUUGAACCCCAUCAUGAAAGAAGUAGUGAAGAAGGAAAUCAUCAAAUGGUUGGAUGCUAGAAUCAUAUACCCAAUAUCAGACAGUUCAUGGGUGAGCCCAGUUCAAUGUGUUCCAAAUAAGGGAGGGAUAACAAUAAUAACUAAUGAGAAAAAUGAACUUAUCCUUACAAGGACAGUGACUGGAUGGAGAGUAUGUAUGGAUUACAGGAAGCUCAACAAAGCCACAAGAAAAUACCACUUCCCACUGCCAUUCAUAGACCAGAUGUUGGACAGACUUGCUGGAAAUAAUAUUAUUGUUUCUUAGAUGGGUAUUCAGGCUACAACCAGAUUGCUAUAGCUCCUCAGGAUCAGGAGAAAACUACAUUUACUUGUUCUUAUGGAACAUUUGCCUUCAGAAGAAUGCCCUUUGGGUUAUGCAAUGCUCCAGCAACUUUUCAGAGAUGCAUGAUGUCUAUAUUUUCUGAUAUGGUAGAGUAGACUUUAGAAGUUUUCAUGGAUGACUUCUCAGUCUUUGGAGAAACAUACAAUGAUGGUUUACACAACCUGAAAGAAGUUCUUGAAAGAUGUGAGAUGACCAACUUAGUACUCAAUUGGGAAAAAUGUCAUUUUAUGGUGCAAGAAGGAAUAGUGUUGGGUCACAAGGUAUUCAAGAAUGACAUUGAGGUAGACAAAGCCAAGAUAGAGGUAAUAGAUAAAUUGCCACCUCCAACUUCAGUAAAGGGUAUCAGGAGUUUUUUGGGACAUGCUGGAUUUUACAGAAUAUUCAUUAAGGAUUUUUCCAAGGUGGCUAAACCAUUAUGCUCAUUGCUGGAACAUAAUAAGCCCUUUUACUUUGACAAAGAGUGUCAUCAAGCAUUUGGAGAAUUAAAGAAAGCUCUUAUCACUGCUCCAGUAAUCAUAUCUCCAGACUGGACUUUACCAUUUGAAUUGAUGUGUGAUGCUAGUGACCAUUCUGUGGGAGCAGUAUUAGGGCAAAGAAGGGACAAGGUUUUUCACUCCAUAUACUAUGCAAGCAAAACUCUUACUCAAACUCAAAUCAAUUACACCACUACAGAUAAAGAAUUGCUAGCUGUAGUAUUUGCUUUUGAUAAAUUCAGAGCCUACUUGGUGAGCACUAGAGUGACUGUAUAUACAGACCAUGCAACCAUCAAAUACUUAAUUUCAAAGAAAGAUGUCAAGCCAAGAUUAAUCAGAUGGAUCUUAUUGCUACAAGAAUUUGAUUUGGAAAUUAAAAAUAGAAAGGGGAUUGAGAAUUAAAUAGCAGACCACAUGUCAAUGUUGGAAGCAUACACAAGCACAUUGACAAGGAAAUACAUUACUGAAACUUUUCCUGAUGAACAACUGUUGGUGGUACAGCAAGCACAGAUGUUGCAGCAGUCAGAAUCUCCAUGGUAUGCAGACUUUGCUAACUAUUUAGUAAAUUGGUUGCUACCACCUAAGCUGAAGUUUCAAGAGAAAAAGAAAUUUCUUCAUGAUGUUAGAAGUUACCAAUGGGAUGACCCACAUUUAUAUAAGCUGUGCACAGAUCAAGUAAUACGAAGAUGUGCUGCAGAAGGAGAGAUUCCCCACAUACUGGAGUCAGGUCAUGCUGCAGCAUAUGGAGGACAUUUUGGUGGUCACAGAACAGCUGUUAAAGUACUGCAAUCAGGUUAUUACUGGCCAACUAUUUUUAAAGAUGCUUAUGAAUUUGUUAAAUGUUGUGACAGGUGUCAAAGGACAGGGAACAUAACUAGAAGACAUGAAAUGCCGUUGACCAACAUCCUGGAAGUGGAAAUUUUUGAUGUCUGGGGAAUAGAUUUCCUAGGACCUUUUCCCCCAUCCUUUGGGAACUUAUAUAUCCUUAUUGCUGUGGAUUAUGUCUCCAAGUGGGUAGAAGCUGCAGCUUUUUCUUCAGAAAAAUAUUUUUUCCAGAUUUGGCACUCCUAGAGCAAUUAUUAGUGACGAGGGUACACAUUUUUGCAACAAAAUCUUUGCUGCAGCAAUGGUAAAAUAUGGAGUCAGACACAAGGUAGUUACAGCAUAUCACCCACAAUUCAAUGGUCAGGCUGAAGUUUCCAACAGAGAAAUUAAAAAGAUCUUAGAAAAAGUGGUGAACCCAACAAGGAAGGAUUGGUCUUUACACUUACAUGACUCUCUAUGAGCCUACAGAACAGCAUACAAAACUCCACUCGACAUGUCCCCUUACCGAAUUGUUUAUGGCAAGGCUUGUCAUUUGCCACUAGAGCUAGAGCAUAAAGCACACUGGGCACUAAAGAAAUUAAAUUGGGAUAUUCAUGCUGUAGCAGAGCAAAGGAAGCUUCAACUUUGUGAGCUUGAUGAAUUACGGCUAUUUUCAUAUGAAAAUGCAAGAAUCUAUAAAGAGAGGACAAAACAAUGGCACGACAAGCAUAUUUAGCACAAGAAAUUCAACCCUGGUCAAUUAGUGUUGCUCCACAAUACAAGACUAAGGUUAUUUCCGGGAAAGCUCAAGUCACGAUGGUCUGGCCCAUUUAAGCUGCUCAAAUUUUAUCCUCAUGGAGCUGUUGAUCUUCUAGAUGAACAGACAGGUCAAGAAUUCAAGGUUAAUGGACACAGGGUUAAGCACUACAUACAUCUAGCGGCAGAUUGUUCAAAUGAGGUGUUACUCCUUAAAGAACCCAGCUAUUGAACAAUGAAAGAAGGUCAGGCUGAAAGACCUUAAAUCAAGCGCUCCAUGUGAGGCAACCCAUUGGGGAGACAGCCACUUCAAACCAACUUUGACAUCCUUUGGUUUUGUAGACAGCUCUCCCUCUUUACCAUCUUAUUUAAUUUUGUUUUUCUAUGUUAGCCAUUUACUUUUAUCCUUUUACAUUAUUGCAUUCUUUAUUUUCGCUUUAAUUUGAUCUAUUUAUUUCUUUUAAUAAUUUUAGAAUUAAUUUUAGUUUGUGAGAAGUAUGUGUGACAAUUGAAUUCCAUAUUGACAAGUGAGAGUGGAUGGUGGUAGAAUGCAGAGGUGAGCCACGUGUCAGAAGCUUUAGUGUGGAGUAUGUAUCCGUUGUUAGAGUAAGCAAAUGGGUGCUGCAGCAACUAAUUUUACUGUUACAGUAAAUUAAAAGCUGGAGCUUUUCACUUACCGUGGAGAUAAAAUCGUGACAAAUGGACGCAUGGAUAUGGAUAGAAAUUGCGGAACCAAAUCUCCGAAAUUAAAGCUUUAAUUUCACUGGCCGAUGAUUUUGGGAUAUGCACAUUUAAUUCAAAAUAUUUUAUUCCCUCAAUUAUCUCUAGUUACCGUAUUUAUCUUUAAUUAAAGUCCACUAUAAAAAGGAGUCACUGUGCUUAGUGCUCUACGACAAUAUUACCCAUCUCCUUCGCAAAUACAACUCUCCUAAUUCUUACCCUCUUCUUCUCAUUUUACUCUCAGGAACAUUAACUUCAAUUUGCUACUGCUACAGCAAUGCCGAGGUAUAAGAAAACAGCCAGCUGCCUCAAAGAUCUGUCACGCUUCCAGAGUUACCACGCCGAAGAAAAAUAUGAAGAAUUCAUAGAGCCGCGUAAGAUUCUGGAAGAAAAAAGGUUACAAUUUCCAGACCAACUCACUGGAAUUGUGCAAACAAUUCAUAAUGCUGCAGCAAAGCGAGGAUGGUUAGAGUUUUGCAACCACCCUCGAGAUCAUGUACUACCCGUAGUCAAAGAAUUUUACGCAAUUUGGUAAGUCUUGAUCAGCACAACAUUUGGGUAAGAAAUACACUUGUUCCAUUAGACUCCCGCGUUAUAAAUGCUUUUUAUAAUUUACCUGCUAAAAUUAAUUGUGAGUAUGCCAAGUUGCGUGAUAAAUUAAGCCCGAAAAAGUGGACCACCAUUUUCACAAACGCUUACAAUCGAAGGGGCAUCAUGGGCUAACGAGGAAGGGCGUGUAGUUAAUAGGAUAGAUUUGAAGCCUAUUGCUAAGGUGUGGGUGAAAUUUCUGAAAUAUAGGCUUCUGCCCACCACUCACACUACUACAGUUUCGCAAGAGAGGUUGGUCUUGUUAUAUGUCAUUGUUCGAGGGCUUCCUAUAGAUGUGGGUAGCAUCAUUGCAAAAGAAAUCCGGGAUUGUACAGUCAAGACUCACCGAACGGCUACCUUGCUAUUUCCUUCACUCAUCACUAGCAUUUGUGUAGUUUCUGGUGUUCGUCUUGACGCUAGAGAUGACCAUGUCAAGAGUGAUGGUGCCUUUACGGCACGUACCAUUGAGAGAGUUGCUGGUGAAGUGCUGGAACAACCAUUGAACCAGCUGUUGUAACAGAGCAAGACGAGCUAUUGGCUUAGAACAGACCAUCCAGGCACUCAGCACCAGUAUCACUCAGUGUGCAGAAGCUCAGCAGAGAGAAAAUGAUCGGUUUUGGAGUUAUCUACAGCACCUGGACAACCAACUACACCAAUUUACUCUGUACAUGAAACGCAUUCACCGGAACUUCCCUGAUUCACUGCUCCAGCAGUACAAUUUUGACACCAACACCACAGAUGCUCCAGCAGAAGCCAGUGAAGAAGCCACUGCCACAGAUGAACCAGCAGAUGAAGCUGCAGCUGAACCACAAGCAAAGGUAGACUCAAAAGAUGCUGAUCCAUCUGACCCACCUGAGGAUGAAGGUGACAAGUCUAAGACUGAUAGCUCACCCACGGAGGCAGAGGACAAUUCAGAGAAAGAACGUGAGGAACCAACCAUCCCAACCCAGUCCAAAACCAGGAAACAACACAUCAUUCAAAAAGAGGAGGAGGAAGACCUUGAAGAGGAACUGUCUAUUCUAGUCUUUAUAGGCAAGGGAAAGGACAAGGGUAAAGCAAAAAUGGCCACACCUCCAGCCUCUGAAGAUGAAAUGGAGCAAGUUGAUGCCGAGCUGGCUGCUGCAGCAGCCAGAGUUACGCCUACAACUGAACAAGCCAAGCAACUACUGGCGAUCAUUGCUGCCAUCACAGCUGAGGGCCAGGCAGCUGAUGCAUCAACUCCAAUUCCUCCACAGCAGACUCCUACCCAGCCUGUUCGCACCAGUCCAUGACAAUCCAGCAAAAGAAAAGGCAGUACGUCCAAAGGCACUACUACAACAACCCCAGCCACAACUCCUCUAACCAGCCCCGUGACGAAAAAGACAAAGACAUUGCCAGUUACUUCCCCACAAGCUUCCCCAAAGGAUAAGCUGCGCAGUGCAGCCAAGAAGUGCUGAUUGCAGUCCCCACCACAGGGGAGUUUUCUUUCUUUACUAGUUCAUUUCGUAAAAAAAAAUAUAUAUAUAUCUACCUUCUGUUUGUCAAUUUGUGUGGUAUUUUCUAAGGUCUUCCAUAUCCUUGUCAGUUUGUGUACCUUUGUUAUGUAUGCUUGUGAGGACACAUCAACUCUCAAGUUUGGGGGGGUUGUGUUUCUGAAUGCAUAUGUUUAUGUUUGUAUGCAUGUGUUUAUGUUUGUAUGGUGUGAAGUCUGUUAUCUAAUAUUUGUGUAUGGAUUUGAAAAUGUAAUGAAGAUAAAUUGAGUGCUAUUCAGUAUUUAUAUGCCCAGUAGAGAUAGUUAUAGAUGAAAGUGAAAUUAUAUCCUGACACUUAGACUUUUGUUGAAUUGUAUGAGACUACUAGAGCAAAGCCAAAAGAAUAGAAAAGAUCCUAAAUUUUGGGGGAAGAAGCAAGUUUGAUUAACUGUAAUAUCUAUGAAACAUAAUAUGUUCCAAUGGCUCAAGUUGCUGAGUAACCAGAUUUGAGUAUGUACCCCAUAUGCAGAAUUGUGUUCAAAGGUAGCGAGAGUUAUGAGCAAUGCUGAAGCAUGUUGUUAUAAAAAAAAAACAAAAAAAACAAAAAGAAAAAGAAAUCCUCUGUCUAAGGCAUUGAGUAGCCAGGUCUGUUCAUGAGCCCCAUGUUCAGCCUUGAGUAAAAGAUACCUCUAGAUAAGAUUACAUUACAGAAUCUUGCUACAACAACUCUAAUUUGGGCAUGGUUUGAGUAAUUGGGUGUCAUCAUUACAAUUGAUUGACAUUCACAUGAAAGAUAAAUGUUACAGUGAGGAGGUUGAAUAUUCCCUAGUUUAUCAAUCUUAAAAUCAUCACAGUCUGAGUAUGUAAAAGUUAUGUUACCCCAUUUAUGAAUGAAGUGUUCUUACUACUGAAAUUCAUGCAAUCCCUUGGUGAUGUUACAGCAUCUCUGGAAUUCAAUCGAAGGAACACACACACACUAUGGACAGAAAGAAGCUUAAGUCUAGAGCUAAUUUACUAUGGUCAUUUUGCAUGAUUGGGAUUGUGAUCUGAAGGUGGAAGAAUCCUUGCAAAUUUGAUAAAAGAGCUAAAGUUGUGUGCAUGAUUGUUUGCGGGAAGUGUUAGUAUAUGUCAUUACUUGAGGGCAAGUAAUGGUUUAAGUUUGGGGGUGUGAUAACUCUAGGAAAUGAGAGUUAUUACAUCAAUUCUAGACUUGAAUCAAGACUACUUGAGAACAAAUAAGGUGUUUUUAUUAUAUUUUGGUUACCUUUUGCAUAAACAUUCAUUUUAGUUGAGUCUUAAUAAGUUUUGCUUGAAUCAAAGUAAUUUGUGCUCAAAACAAGUGCAUAAUUGUAGGUUUUAAAGUCAUGAGGGGAUGUUGAGGCAUUAGAAGAGCGAGAGGAGGAAAGAAGAUGGCCACAAAAGCAGUAAAGCACAAUCGGAAAUAAGGCAGUGUUGUAGCUGAUGUUAGAGCAACCAGUGCUGUAGCAAUCUGGGAGCAAUGCGAGAGAAAACUUAGGCACGAGUCAGCCAUAAAAACGCGAUCUGCAUGUUUCCUAAUUUAAAUGCAUGCACGCUCAUGGGCUUUGGUUUACCCUAAUUUGCAAUAUAAAAAGGAGGCGUGCACCAUAUAGAAGGCGGGAAAUGGAUCAUCAUCAGAAUAAUUACAAAGGAAAGAAGAAGAAGAUCAGAUCGAGAGAGUGUUGUUUCAGCAACAUUGAAGACUCAUGCAGAAUUAUUUGUCUUUCAUCGUGCUCAACUUAUAUUUCUCUUCUUCCUUUAAUUGUUUUGAUGUAUUCAUUGAUCAAUAUAUUUAUGUUUACUUUUCUCAUUCAGAGUAUGAACUAAAUUUACUUGUAGUUGAGUGACAAAGAAUCCAAUGGGUUCUUGACUGUUCUUAUAUGUUGUUAUGGCAUUGUUGUAGCAUUAUACUAUAGUAGUUUUUAUGAAUAUAACUGUUAUUUCGGUUGACCACCCAUUUAAUAGUUUCAGUUAAGAUAGAGCAGCAAAAGAGCAUGUCUUAGCGGAUGUUAUUAGAGUAUUACUUGAUCUUAAGUCGAGUUUCCUGGAUUAAGUUAUCUUAAAUCCCAUAAGGGCAAUACUUGAAGUUAAGAUUUGUGACACACUAGACAUAGAUGUUCACCUUGUAGGGUGGAAAGACUAAAGACCAUAAUGUCAUACUAUAAGUAGAUUAGCAAUUGGUCAUUGUUAAUAGAUUUAAGGGUAUGAGACUUCCAAUAUGCGGCAACUGAGGAUGCAGAUAAACUCUGUCUAGUGCUGCAGCACUGGUCGUAACAACUGGUACUAAUUUGAUGAAAAAAUAGUCAACCCCAAAGGAAAAUUUGAUCAUUCAACUACAUUAAUUUCAAUUGAAUCUUGGACACACUUAACCUAGUUAUUUCAUUACGAUAUUGUUUUAUUUAAUUCUUAUCUCAAUCAUUGAUUACAAUAGACAUUACUUGACAAUUGUUUGCUUCGGGUUUAAGUUGAGUUGCGCUAUUGUGAGUGCUGUAGCAUUUCGAGUAACAUUAAUCCAUGUGGAGACGAUCUUGAAUACUUAUCACUUUAUUACUUGUUGUGUAUACUUGCACAUUGGCAUUGAUAGUAAUUGCUUAUAAAAUUUACCAACACAUAUCUAAACCACUUUGUAACCUCUUAUUAAAAGAUGCACCAUUUGAAUGAACUGAUGAUUGCCAAAAAUCUUUUGAGAAAAUAAUUUGACUUUUAACAUCAGCACCCAUUAUGCAAUCUUCUGAUUGGUCUCUUCCUUUUGAAUUAAUGUGUGAUGCAAGUAAUUUUGUUGUUGGUGUUGUUUUUGGACAAAGAAUGGAUGGUAAGUCGUUUGUGAUUUAUUAUGUGAGUAAGACCUUGGAUGGUACCCGAAUGAAUUAUUUGACAACUAAAAAAGAAUUACUUGCAGUGGUGUUUGUAUUAAACAAAUUUCGUUCAUAUUUGCUUGGUUCUAAAACUAUUGUUUUUACUAACCAUGCUGCUAUGAGAUAUUUGAUGACUAAACAGGAUGUCACAACCAAGACUAAUUCGAUGGAUUUUGUUACUACAAGAAUUUGACCUUACCAUCAAAGAUAAAAAAGGUGCCGAAAAUGUCGUUGCUAAUCAUUUAUCAAAACUCACAUUCGAAUUCUGCACUGACGUAACACCCAUCAAUGACUCCUUCCUAGAAGAAUUUUUAUUUUCUGUUACUUUAAUGCUAUGAUAUGCUAACAUUAUUAAUUUCUUUGUUACAGGUAAAAUGCCUUUGCAAUAGAAUACUCAAGAGAAGAAGAAAUUUUUAGUUGAAGUAAAGAAAUUUUAUUAGGAUGAUAUUUCACACAGGUGGUAUUUCACACAUGUGGUAUUUUAUGUAUUUUAUUUAGUCUUUAAUAUGGCAUACCUAGCAAAUGUUAUAUAAUUGUGUUUGAGAAUUUUAUUUUUAAAUGAUUUUAUCUUUUUAUUGAAAAUUUUUUAUUUUAUUUUUAGUGAAUUAUACAGUAAAUUAUUGACAAUUUAACAAAAAAUAUUUCAAAUAAUUGUUCAAAAAAUAAUAAAAUAAAUUAUUAUUUAAAUAAUAAAAAUGAAAUCGAUUAUUGCGUCAAAUGAUAUGGGUUCUCACGGCUAAACUAAUCAAAGUUAAAAAACGUGUCACUCCCAAACGAAUACCUUCGCAUGGAGGUCGCCCGGUGGGGCAACGCGCAAAUUGGAUUAGUGACUGAGAUUCUCGUUGCUCCUUUCCAAAUUAAAAUUUUCAAACGGAUGCUAAAUUGUUGAAUAAGACACCAAAUUCUAUUUCCACCUGUCGUUGUAAUGAUAUUAUAUCUUUGCUGCAUGUGUCACACUCUCACAUCCGUACAAGAAAUAUAAUAAAUAAAUAAUAUGAGAUAACGGAUGGUAAUAAUAUAGCAUGCCACCUCAGGUAUGUACCUCAGAAAUAUAAUUUAAAAAUAAAAAUAUAUAGAAACCCCUUUAAUUUAGGUUAAUUUAAAAUGUAUAAGGAAUAUUUCAAAUUUGAUAAAAGGUUUAAAAUGUAUAAGAAAUAUUAACGUUUAUGUGCAUAUAAAAUUUUUAAAAUUAACAUGAAGUUUCCCUUAGUUAGUAAUUAAUUUUAAACACUUAAAAAUUAACAUGAAAUUUCACUUAAGUAGUAAUUAAAAUUUUAAACGCUUUAUUUGAGAAUAAAAUCAUAAAUUAAAAUUAAUGAAUUGCACUUGAUAGUCUCAACUUACCCGAGCGGUUCGGCAUUCAUUUGAAAUUGUUAAUAUACUAUGGACUUCCUUGUUAUCUCCUAGUUAUGGAAGUGACUAAUGUAGCAUUUAUUUUUUUGUUUGAAAUUUAAAUAAACUUGAAUUAGUCACUAUUUUAAAUAGUGUUGAAUCUAAAUCAUAUUUUUUUUGUUUGAAUUACCAAAAAUAAGUAAUAAUUUAUUCUUUCUUUUAACUUAAAAAUAUGAAAAUCAGUAUUUCUACAUUUGUGCUCAUAGAAAUUAAAAAUGUUAAAUAAAGAAUAAAUAUUUCAAAGAAAAUAAAUAAAAUAAUAUGUUAUCAUAACAUAUGGUUAUUGCGAUCUUAAUAAAAGAUUUACUUUUUCUAUCCGUCGGUGUAGGCCAAUGACCGAACCAUAUUAAUUCUCCGUGUUUUUCUUAUUAUAUAACCUUAGCUAAACUAGUUCUCUAGUUGACCGCAUUUCUACAUCUAACAAUUCUUGUGAUGUAUAGGCAGCUGAAACAAUUUUUUGCGUUUUAAAACCUUUCUGACUGUAUAUCAUCAUUUUUUUUUUACGCACACCAGGAUUUGUGACGGCUAUACGGCCAAUCUCCGAUGCAAUAAAUAAAUAAAUAAUAAACGACGUCUAUUUCCACCGCAUAUGACUAUUACGCCAACAUUAUGGAAGUUCCUCACAAAUUUACGAAAAUGACCCUUUAUCUAAUAUUUUGAUAUUUUGUAAUUCUAUCCUCAUCAACAUUUUUAUAUUAAUUAAAAUUUUUAACGAACAUCAGUUGUAAGGUCCACAUCACAAUGACACAUCGUUAGAUACGUGACUACACGCACUAUGACACAUCAAGAUCACAAUGUUUUUAAUUAAGUUCAGUCUUAUUACAAAUGCACAACUGUCUGUCUACUAAUCUUUUUAUGUUUGGGAGUUAGAGUAAGUGUAGGAUUAGAUUAAUUUUCUAGACAAAAUAUUUAUUCCAUGUUUGACGGGCUCGCUUAAAUUUGAUUAAGAGGAUUAAAUUCAAAUUUAUUUUUACAAUUAUAGGAUUAGUUAUCAUAAUUUUCACAUGGGUUUAAGGAGAAUUAGAGUAAGCAAUGCUUGUCCCUUUAUGACAAUCUGUUUGUUUAUUAAUGAGUUGUUAUCUAUUUAAUUAAUUAUUUAUUUUUAUUCAUGAUUUCUUAAAAAUUAAGUAUUUAUUUUUUAUUCUACCCAUGUCAUCUUUUAUCAUUUAUUUAUUUAAUGUUAAAAGUAAUGCAUUAACAAAAUUACUUUUUAGAAACAUGCCAUUUAUCAUUUGAUUAUUAUACAAAUAUUUUUAAAAUAUUUGAUAAAUAAUUAAUUUUAUAUUUAACUAUUUUAGUUAUAUUUUUUUAAUAGGCAAUAAUAUGCAUCAUAUAUAAAAGCAUAUAAUUUUCAUAAUUUUAGUUGUUCUUGUUAAAAACCAUUUAAUUUCACUUAAAUUUAAUUUAACAUAGUGUAAUUAAAUAUUAUACUAAAUAUAAGAUUGUACUACAUAGAAAAAAACAAUGUAAUCCAAUUCAAUUUAAUCUAAUUGAAUUUUAAGUCUAUUUAAUCAUGCUUACUAAACGUAGCCUAACCUAUAACUAAAUCAUACAGUAUAUGAUUGAUUGAUAAUGAAAGAGUAAUCGCUGGCAGACUUAUGUUGUGGCUUGAGUCCAUUUCUUUGGAAAUAUUACAUCCAAUUUGGCCCUGCCAAUCGACCAGAUAGUUCAAAUUGACAAAAUGUCAAAAUCAAUUCAAUUGCGUGCACGCAGGUGUUGGCUUUCACUUUGAAUUUUUUCAAUUUCUAAUUUUUGGCAAAAGGCUAAACUAAUAAAAAUCAUAAAGCUGGUCAAUCCCACAACCAAACACGAGGUCCAUUCGAGUUUGAUUUACCACUCCUCUACGGAGUUAUUACACGACACUCUUAUUAAGCGUCACUUUGUGGGAUUAGAGGAAAAGGUUAAAGUUUGCUUACAUAAUCAUAAAGACCCCCUUAAUUUUUUAAAUUGUUACAAUCCUUAAUUUUAUAAAUAGUUAGACAAGUCUUUUUUUAACCAUUAUACCCUUGAUUACAACUAUUCAAUAUUCACUUUAAAUAAACUUUUAUUACAACAAUUCAAUAUUCAUUUUAAAUAAACUUUUACAAUAAAUAUAAAUUAAAAUGAAAAAAAAAUGUAAUGUAUAAAUUAAGAUAAAAUGUGUAAAUUAUUUGGAAUAUUAGAAAAGUUAUUUUAACAUCAUUAAUCUGUCAUAUUCUUUUAAUAAUAAAAAAAUCUAUUUGACAUAUUAAUAAUGAUAAAAUAACUAUACCUAAUAUUCAUAGUAAUUUAUAAAUUUUAUAUUAUUCUAUUUACUAUGUCUUUUUUUAAUUAUGUCUAUCAGUAUAAUAAAUUAAAGUCAAUUUUUGGAUUAAUACAUUUUAGUAUUAAUAAAUUCCAUCAGGAUAGACUAAUAACAACUUAAUAUUUAAGAUAAUUCAUUAUAUAGGCAAUUUUAUUAAAUAAACUUAUUGUAAUUUUUUAUUUAUAUCAUAUUAUAUAUUUUUAUUAUUUUUAUCUUAUUAUUGUAUUUAUAUUAAUUCAGAUUGUUAUAAUUAAAGGGUAUAAUAAUCAUUUAUGAAAUUAAGGUGUCUAUCUGACCAUUUAUGAAACGAAAGAGGGUUUAUGUGACCACUUAACAAAACCUUACGGUUGUGGGUGGCCUUUUCCCAUUCGAUUAUGCAGGAAACUAAGAUUCUGGUUACUUCUUUCCAAAUUAUGAAUUUCAAAUUCAAAUGCAUGUUGAAUUGCUGAAUAAGAUAUAAGUAUGGCAAAAUUUCCCGAUAGUAAUACUCUAUAUAGAAUUAAUUUUUAGUUAAUAAUAAAAAAUUUUGAUUUCAGUUUAGACCAGUUAUACAUAAGAAUAAACUUCAUAUUGUAAUAAAUUAUAGCUUUUUAAUCCAAUUUUAAGAGUUUUUAGAUCCCAUUUUAAGAAACUUGCCUCCACAUAGUAAUAAUUAUUAGUGUAGCGUAAAAAUAUAUGUUAUGUUAUAUUAAAGGAACUUACUUCCAGAUAGUACAAUUACACAAUGAGAGAUAAUUAAUGAAGAGAAUGCAAAAAAUUAGAGAUUUUUAAGAUGACUUUAAUAUUCCUAAUAAUAGUGCAUUGAUACAUUGUACUUAUUUUUUGAUAUAUUAAGAUUUGAUAUGCUCCAUUAAUAAAUUAUUAAUGUAUUACAUACUUUACCUCUAUAUUCUUACACUAAGGAUAAAUAAGUUAAAACAAUAAUUUUCGUAACUACUCAUCUAUUAAGUAAUAAUUUCUUCAUUGCAAUUAACUAAUUUGGUCCUAAUAUUAUAAGUAUAGAGAGAUAUUGCUAUAUUGAGAUUGAUUGAUAGAGCACACCAGCCUUGAAUUUCGUUAAUGUCCCUAUAUGGUACCAUUUCACACACAUCAAUAAUUUUACAUUGUAAAAAUACGGAGCCAUUAAUCAUGUAAAGAUUGUCAAUUCCCCCCCCCCCCCCCCUCCCGCCCGCCAGACCAUUAUUGGCCAUCUAUUUUGUUAUUUUAUUAUUGUUUUUAUAAUAACCUCUAAGCCAAUUUUUUAAAGGAAAUUGGUGGGCUCAAAAUUCAAAUAGCCCCACCAUUAUUAAAUUAACUUAAAAUCGUUUCCGUAGAAAGUAGGGUAUUAUUGAAAUUGAUUAUGCGAAAGAUAUUUUACGUGGCCCGCGAUCAAAUAGAUGUAAAUAAAGUUAACGUUAUUGCAAGAGUGAAUUGGCAUUGUUCAUAAAAAUUACAAUUCAUUAUAAGAGGAUUGCCAAUUGCUCUCCUACAGUAAUCAACAUAUACCAUUUUCUCCUCUAUUAUUUUUAUAAUGGCCAAAACCCCCCUGAUAGAAUAAAUUUACGAUAUUACCCUUAUUUUCAACUACUUUUUAUUUAUAUUUAUUAUAAAUUAAAUAAAUGACAUGAAUAGAAACUAAAUAAAAAAUUAAGCAUUAAAGAUAAGAAAUAUAUGUUUUGAUAUGAGAAAAAAAUUAAUAAUAAAUUUUUUUUCUUGUACUUAUUUAUUUUGUGAAAUUUUUCUUAUAAUAAAUAUAUAAGAAAGUUAUUAUAAAAUGAUAAAAAAUUUAUUAUAAGAAAAUUUGAAUGACAAAUAAAAAUUUAUUAUAAGAUAAAUAAUAAAAUAUUUUGCCUAUACUUUUUACAUUUAAUUUUAAAAUAUUACAAAAUAUUUAUUAUAAGAAAAUAUUCACAAAAUAAAUAAUUACAAGAAAAAAAAAUUUACUAUUAAUUUUUGUGCUCAUAUCAAAACAUAUAUUUCUUAUUUUUAAUACUUAAUUUUUUUAUUUAGUUUCUAUUCAUGUAAUUUAUUUAAUUUAUAAUAAAUGUAAAUAAAAGAAUAAUUAAAAAUAAGGGUAAUAUUGUAAACUUAUGCUAUCAUGGGGGUUUUUUACCAUUAUAAAAACAGCAAGGGGUAAAUAAUAUAUGUUAAUUACUAUAGGGGGGAAAGUGGCAAUCCCCGUCAUUAUAAAUAGUAAUGCCAUUGAUAACAUUCUUUCACAUUUUCUUUAUUACUGCAUAUAGCAAUGAAACCGAACAUGAGCGGUGUCCUUGUUUUUGCCUUAUUUCUCUUUGAAAUACUUGCCAUAGCAACCAUUAGCAUUAGCUUCUGCAACGGAAGUUCUUAUCACGGGGGUUGCCUUGAAAGUGAGAGAGGAGCACUUUUAAGGCUCAAGCGAGAUCUUAAAGACCCUUCUAACAGGCUUGCUUCUUGGACUGGCAGCGGAGAUUGUUGUGCAUGGACUGGUGUUGUCUGUGACAACAUGACUGGCCAUGUGCUUCACCUCGACCUUCGAAAUCCUUUCAAUUAUUCCAAGGAGUCUGAAUAUGACGCUAUUCGGGGGACAGCGCUUGUUGGUAAGAUAAAUCCUUCUUUGCUUGAUUUAAAGCAUUUGAGUUACCUGGACUUGAGCUUCAAUGAUUUCCAAGGUGAUCGAAUUCCUAGAUUUGUUGGCUCCAUGGGAAAUCUACGGUAUCUCAAUUUUUCUGGAACUCGAAUCGGCGGAAUGAUACCUCAACAACUUGGAAAUCUCUCCAAUCUGCAGUUUCUUGACCUUAGUUCAAAUUAUUUAUUAUACGUUGACAAUUUUUUGUGGCUUUCUGGUCUUUCUGUCCUGGAACACCUCGAUUUGCGUUCUGUGAAUCUUAGCAAAGCCUUUGAUUGGCUGAUGGUAGCAAACAAACUCCCUUCUUUGGUAGAAUUAAGAUUGUCAAAUUGCCAACUCCAACACUUCUCUCCAUUAGCCACCGCAAAUUUUUCGUCUCUCACAGUGCUUGACCUUUCCCACAACCAAUUUGAUAACUCGUUCAUUCCUAGUUGGGUCUUUGGUCUAAGUCAUUUGCUCUUUCUUGACCUAGGUUUUAAUAAUUUUCAAGGUCCAAUUCUUGGGGGACUUCAAAACCUGACUUCCCUUAAACAUCUGGGUUUAGAUUCCAACUACUUCAACUCUUCAAUUCCCAACUGGUUGUAUAGAUUCAUCCAUCUUGAGUACCUUAGUCUUCGCAACAAUAAAUUGCAAGGUACAAUUGACUCAGAGGCUCUUGGAAACUUGACUUCCAUCAGUCGGCUCGAUCUCUCAUUAAAUACUGGUCUUGCAGGGAGAAUUCCAAGAUCCAUGGCAAGACUUUGUAAUUUAAAGUCAAUCAAUCUUCGGGGUGUCCAUGUGAGCCAAGAAAUUUCUGAGAUUUUAGAUAUUUUCUCGGGAUGUGUUUCUAAUGGACUAGAGAGUUUAGAUAUGCGGAGUAGUUCAAUAUAUGGUCAUUUGACUGAUCAGCUUGGCCAAUUUAGAAAUCUCGUCACUCUUAAUCUUGCUAAUAAUUCAAUUGUUGGUCCUAUUCCAGAGUCAUUUGGUCAACUCUCAACCUUGAGAGAACUACAGAUAUAUGAUAAUAAGUUAAACGGAACAAUUUCUGAACUUCACUUUGCCAAUCUGACAGCACUGUCAUGGUUCAGAGUCGGUGGAAACCAAUUGACGUUGGAAGUGAAGCAUGAUUGGAUCCCUCCUUUCCAACUUGUUGCAUUAGGAUUGCAUAGUUGUUAUAUAGGGUCUCGAUUUCCUCUAUGGCUUAAUUCACAAAGGCAUUUACAGUUUCUAGAUUUAGUCAACUCAAGAAUUUCAGAUAUUUUUCCCAUUAGAUUUUUGAAAUCUGCUUCCCAAUUAAAGAUUUUAGAUCUCGAACAAAACCAAAUUCACGGGGAGAUGCCAAAUCUAACCGAGUUUACUCAACUUUUGUUUCUUUCCAUGGAUUCGAAUAAUAUGUCUGGUCCAUUACCCCUCAUAUCAUCCAAUCUCGUUUACCUUGGCCUUUCAUAUAACUCAUUCUCCGGGUCAAUUUCUCAUUUCUUGUGUGACAAAAUCAACGAGACAAAGAGAUUAGAAGCUCUUAAGCUGAAUGAUAAUUAUUUACAAGGAGAAUUACCUGAUUGUUGGAUGAGUUAUCAAAAUUUGAAGAUACUUAAACUAAGUAACAACAAAUUCACUGGUAAUCUUCCAAACUCAUUUGGUAGUUUAGCUUCUCUUGUUUGGUUGGAUCUUGGUAAAAACAGACUGUCUGGGACAAUACCUGUUUCUCUUAAAAAUUGUACAGCAUUAGAGUCACUUGAUGUUGGUGAAAACGAGUUUGUUGGCAAUAUUCCAGCAUGGUUUGGAGAAAGAUUUUCAAGAUUGGUUGUUCUCAACCUUCGUUCCAAUAAGUUUCAUGGCCCUUUACCCACUAGAUUUUGUGAUCUAGCUAUUCUUCAAAUCUUAGACAU